rnacentral:rRNA from 1 species
AUUGAACGCUGGCGGCAUGCUUUACACAUGCAAGUCGAACGGUAACAGGCCUUCGGGUGCUGACGAGUGGCGAACGGGUGAGUAAUGCAUCGGAACGUACCCAGAGGUGGGGGAUAACGCAGGGAAAGCUGUGCUAAUACCGAAUGUGAUCUGAGGAUGAAAGCGGGGGACCGAGCAGCAAUGUUUGGCCUCGCGCCUUUGGAGCGGCCGAUGUCGGAUUAGCUAGUUGGUGGGGUAAAGGCACACCAAGGCGACGAUCCGUAGCUGGUCUGAGAGGAAGACCAGCCACACUGGGACUGAGACACGGCCCAGACUCCUACGGGAGGCAGCAGUGGGGAAUUUUGGACAAUGGGCGCAAGCCUGAUCCAGCAAUGCCGCGUGCGGGAAGAAGGCCUUCGGGUUGUAAACCGCUUUUGGCAGGAACGAAACGGUGUCCGCUAAUACCGGGCGCUAAUGACGGUACCUGCAGAAUAAGCACCGGCUAACUACGUG